AAAGCUUAUACAGUCCUGCUAUUUGUAUCUGGAUAUGUCCACCCAUUUAAGUAAUUAUUCUGUACUAUGGGAAUAGUUGAACUUGUUAACUGAUACCAAUGCGGCCGCUGCUAAGAAGCACGGAGUAGCUAUGGACCAGAAGACUGCAGCCAAGGCAGCACUGAUCCACACCUGCCUUGUCUGUUGGAGUAAAUACAAACCCGAAGAUGUUCAAGCAGCACUCUGAGAGCCACCAUCCCAAGUCUCCAAUGCUCCCAAGACUGGUUGAUGUGCGGGCCUAAGUGACCACACACACUGAAAUGGACCUACAUCCAGGGGAGAAGAUCCAGGCCUGUGCUCUCAAAAUUCACCAAAGGAAUGUGCUUUGUCUCAACAGACUUGUUCCCGCUGAAACUCUUAACACUUUCAAAAGUGAAUACUGGACAAUAUUUCUAACGUAGAAUGUGGGGAAUGGUCAGAGGCGAUCUACAGAACACUAAUGUCGUGUUGUAUGCUAUUUUGUGAUGUCAUUAAAAAUGUUAUAAAGGAAGUACUGUAACUUGGAAAGUAUACCCACUACAUGGAUGAAGUUUCCAUACUAUGGGUUGUGCAUGUAAAAUGGAAAAUUAUGAACGUGUUUUUGUUAAGAGAGGGAUGUGAUUUGAUAAGUUAUAAUAGAGAAUUGUUUCCAUAACUUUGCACACCGCCCCGGAGUGACGUCAUGGAGCAUGCCAGCCUGCCAGAACUGCCAGUUUUGUGCAAAAGUUAUAAAUUAUGGGUUAUGAAUUAACACAUGGGACCAGAAAAGUGUGAAGCUGCAGCUGCGUGUUUAAAAUGGUUUGAACUUUAAAUCUCAAGUCAAGGUGGAGACAAUAAACUCACCUCCCAGAAAAUCACUGGUACGGCUGAUUGGCUGUCCUAAGUAAAGUAUCUUCAAAAGCGAAUUUAAGUAGGACCAACCUGUUACUCUGCUCAAACCAUCGUAUAUAAGUUAUUGUGAUUUGAAUUUAACAUUAAUCUGAAGACUGUUAUUUAUCUAAUUAACUAACUAUGUUAAAUUGUUACCCGAUUGAAUGAAUCAUGUAAAACAUAACUCAUUGGGAUCUGGGGCACCACGAGAGCGGUUCUUUAAAACUCUAACAUAGUUAGUUAAUUAGAUAAAUAAGUCUUCAGAUUAAUGUUAAAGUCAAAUCACGAUAACUUUAAUGUUAUGAUUCACAGACACUCGAUGUUCACAAUUUGAAUGACAUUGAGGGACACGCUAAGACCCCGAGUAUGACUGGACAUGGGCCGGAUAUUUGUGAUGCAGAAACACACCAGUACCAUGACAAGCAAGUUAAAUGUUUAUUCCAUAGCUACCCCUUAUCCCACACUGCCUUUUAUGCACCGUGGUGCUUCAACUUUGAACAUUUUGGAACUCUCCAUCUUAUCUCUAUAAACCCACCCUACCUUCACCCAUUUUCCCUAUGCUGCUACCUUAACUUAUUCUUCUCCUGAUUUGAUCAAAUCUAGACUAAGUAACAUGUUUAAAAGUGGCCAGCAGAGAUAGGUGGGAUGGGCUGAGGGUUGAGAUGUGGAAUUGGAAACAAGUGGGAGUGGAGUUGCUGGGCGUGGGAUAGAAUGGCGGUCAAAGAUAAAAGUAUAAAAAGUCCAAAUAAAACAACAUAAAGUAAGUUUGAAUGACACUGAGGGGCAGGGUUUUUACAGCUAAUGCCGGGUUGCCUGAAACUGAUGCCGUGCAGGUGUUUGUACACAUGCAUAUACACACUCUCAUUCAAAUGCACACACGUGCACAUACACAGACACACAUACAUGUAAAUGUAACAGUAUAAUUUUAAACC